CCCUUAGAUGUUCUGGGCCGCACGCGUGCUACACUGAGUGGAUCAGCGGGUCAGGUUGCGCGAAAGUGUUUCCGAAUCUUUAAAUCCGCUCGUGAUGGGGAUUGACGGUUGCAAUUUUCCGUCAUGAACGAGGAAUACCUUGUAAGCGCGGGUCAUCAUCCCGCGCUGAAUACGUCCCUGCCCUUUGUACACACCGCCCGUCGCUCCUACCGAUUGAGUGGUCCGGUGAGGCUUUGGGAUCUGAGCGGAAAGAGCGUUUCGCUGUUUCUGCCCGGAAAACUCAGUCGAACCUUAUCAUUUAGAGGAAGGAGAAGUCGUAACA
rnacentral:rRNA from 1 species